UGCGUAGGCGGGCCGGUCAGUCGGAUGUGAAACCUCACGGCUUAACCGUGAGCGGCCAUUCGAAACUGCCGGUCUUGAGUACGGGAGAGGAAAGUGGAAUUCCUGGUGUAGCGGUGAAAUGCGUAGAUAUCAGGAGGAACACCGGUGGCGAAGGCGGCUUUCUGGACCGAUACUGACGCUGAGGCACGAAGGCCGGGGGAGCAAACAGGAUUAGAUACCCUGGUAGUCC
rnacentral:rRNA from 1 species